UACCAGCACCCCGAGUUGUCGGGACGAUUAUUGGGCCUAAAGCAUCCGUAGCCUGUUCUGCAAGUCCUCCGUUAAAUCCACCUGCUCAACGGAUGGGCUGCGGAGGAUACCGCAGAGCUAGGAGGCGGGAGAGGCAAACGGUACUCAGUGGGUAGGGGUAAAAUCCAUUGAUCUACUGAAGACCACCAGUGGCGAAGGCGUUUGCCAGAACGCGCUCGACGGUGAGGGAUGAAAGCUGGGGGAGCAAACCGGG
rnacentral:rRNA from 1 species